rnacentral:piRNA from 1 species
AUGGAUUCAAGAGAUGC